UAUGGCCACAUCAUGUUGAAACACCGGUUCCUGUAUGAUCCCCAAAGUUAAGCAAUAUUGAGCCUGGUCAGUAACUAGAUGGGUGACCACUUGGGAAUACCAGUUUCUGUA